UCCACCUCUGCCUCCACUUCUGCUUCCACCUCUACUCCUGCUUCAACCUUGAGCUACACUGUAUCAGCUACCACUGAUAAAUGUGUGAUGGAUGCAUGGAAAGGAAAGAAUCCAUACAUUCUUCUUUCCAAAGUUGGGCCCUACAAACUGUUUUAUGCAGAUAUAGCAAGAACAGCCCCAAAUAUGCAGUUGGAGAGUGAGGUACAGGGUGUUUACAUAGGGGAUUUAUGCAGUUAUAUAUGCAGAAAACAGAUCCUAUUUGAUAUUGUAUGUCAUUUCAUCUCAGGUUAUUAAUGCCUACUUGGAGCUCCUGGUCAAAGAGCACAAUGGGCGAACAAGGGAAAAGGCAAUUGCUGUCGACACGUUUGCCAUGACUGAUGUUUGGAAUAAUAAAAGCAAACUGCGUGAAGUAUGUGGAGAUUUUACAGUACAUAUAGACUCAAGUAUUUAUUUAUGCAUCUUUGAGUUAGUCCUUCCGAGCGAUGUAUAAAUAUACCUUUUCUACCCAUGUUUUUCUAAUUUUAGCUUGAUCCUGAUGUUCAAAUUAAUCAUUGGCAUUGUCAACAAGAACAACCACUGGAUGUUGAUGGUUAUGCUUCCAUCAGAGAAGAGGUCAUUGUUCCUUGAUCCUCUUGGGGAAAAGGCAAAGGACAUAAAACACUGUCAAGAGCAUUCAUGAGACAAAGGGGACUCAAUAUCUCAAAAUGGUCAUGCACCUCUCUCCCUCACCCUCUGCAAAAAGAUGUGACAUCUUGUGGAGUAUUUGCAUUAAAGUUUGCAGAAUGCAUUUUAAAAGGGCAGAGCAUCUCCUUUGGAUCAUCAAAAAAACACAUUGAGGGACUAAGAAAGGUCAUAGCAACCACUCUACUGGAAAACAGUGGUAUGUUGGUGACAUGCUGGAGUAUUGCAUGGAUAGCUUAUUUUAGUUAAAUUGAUUAUAUAAGUCUUAUAACAAUAACAGAAACCUGAGCUGUUAUGGUUCUUUGAUUUUGUCAGAUGACCUCAGUGAAGUCUGCCACAUCUGUGGUAACGUGGAGGAUGGCCAGGAUGAGACAGUUUCCUGGAUAUCCUGUGACUCAUGUCAUCGGUGGUACCACCAGCGAUGUGCCAAAUGUAUCACUACUGACAGUGACUACAUGUGUGAGGCUUGUAGUGAUUUGGCUGUAGUUUGAAGUUGUGUGUGUGUGUGUGUGUGUGUGUGUGUGUGUGUGUGUGUGUGUGUGUGUGUGUGUGUGUGUGUG